AUUGAACGCUGGCGGCAUGCUUUACACAUGCAAGUCGAACGGUAACAGGCCGCAAGGUGCUGACGAGUGGCGAACGGGUGAGUAAUGCAUCGGAACGUGCCCAGUCGUGGGGGAUAACGCAGCGAAAGCUGCGCUAAUACCGCAUACGAUCUAUGGAUGAAAGCGGGGGGACCGUAAGGCCCUCGCGCGAUUGGAGCGGCCGAUGUCAGAUUAGGUAGUUGGUGGGGUAAAAGGCUCACCAAGCCAACGAUCUGUAGCUGGUCUGAGAGGACGACCAGCCACACUGGGACUGAGACACGGCCCAGACUCCUACGGGAGGCAGCAGUGGGAAUUUUGGACAAUGGCGCAAGCCUGAUCCAGCAAUGCCGCGUGCAGGAAGAAGGCCUU
rnacentral:rRNA from 1 species